rnacentral:rRNA from 1 species
CCCUUAGAUGUUCUGGGCCGCACGCGCGCUACACUGAUGCAUUCAACGAGUCUAAAACCUGCUCUGAUAGGGGUGGGUAAUCUUUUGAAUGUGCAUCGUGAUUGGGAUAGAUGAUUGCAAUUUUUCAUCUUCAACGAGGAAUGCCUAGUAAACGCAAGUCAUCAGCUUGCAUUGAUUACGUCCCUGCCCUUUGUACACACCGCCCGUCGCUCCUACCGAUUGAAUGAUCCGAUGAAUAUCAUAGACUGAGAGUAUAAGCAGGCUCGCCUGUCUUUGCUUCUCGGGAAGUGAAGUAAAUCUUAUCAUUUAGAGGAAGGAGAAGUCGUAACA